rnacentral:rRNA from 1 species
GAUGAACGCUGGCGGCGUGCCUAAUACAUGCAAGUCGAGCGAACAGACGAGGAGCUUGCUCCUCUGACGUUAGCGGCGGACGGGUGAGUAACACGUGGAUAACCUACCUAUAAGACUGGGAUAACUUCGGGAAACCGGAGCUAAUACCGGAUAAUAUAUUGAACCGCAUGGUUCAAUAGUGUAAGACGGUUUUGCUGUCACUUAUAGAUGGAUCCGCGCCGCAUUAGCUAGUUGGUAAGGUAACGGCUUACCAAGGCGACGAUGCGUAGCCGACCUGAGAGGGUGAUCGGCCACACUGGAACUGAGACACGGUCCAGACUCCUACGGGAGGCAGCAGUAGGGAAUCUUCCGCAAUGGGCGAAAGCCUGACGGAGCAACGCCGCGUGAGUGAUGAAGGUCUUCGGAUCGUAAAACUCUGUUAUUAGGGAAGAACAAAUGUGUAAGUAACUAUGCACGUCUUGACGGUACCUAAUCAGAAAGCCACGGCUAACUACGUG